rnacentral:rRNA from 1 species
GACGAACGCUGGCGGCGUGCUUAACACAUGCAAGUCGAACGGUAAGGCCCUUCGGGGUACACGAGUGGCGAACGGGUGAGUAACACGUGGGUGAUCUGCCCUGCACUUCGGGAUAAGCCUGGGAAACUGGGUCUAAUACCGGAUAGGACUCCUGGCUUCAUGGUUGGGGGUGGAAAGCUUUUGCGGUGUGGGAUGGGCCCGCGGCCUAUCAGCUUGUUGGUGGGGUAAUGGCCUACCAAGGCGACGACGGGUAGCCGGCCUGAGAGGGUGACCGGUCACACUGGGACUGAGAUACGGACCAGACUCCUACGGGAGGCAGUAGUGGGGAAUAUUGCACAAUGGGCGCAAGCCUGAUGCAGCGACGCCGCGUGAGGGAUGACGGCCUUCGGGUUGUAAACCUCUUUCAGCUAUGACGAAGCGCAAGUGACGGUAGUAGCAGAAGAAGGACCGGCCAACUACGUGCCAGCCGCCGCGGUAA